AGUGAACGCUGGCGGUAGGCCUAACACAUGCAAGUCGAACGGCAGCACAGGAGAGCUUGCUCUCUGGGUGGCGAGUGGCGGACGGGUGAGGAAUACAUCGGAAUCUACUCUGUCGUGGGGGAUAACGUAGGGAAACUUACGCUAAUACCGCAUACGACCUACGGGUGAAAGCAGGGGACCUUCGGGCCUUGCGCGAUUGAAUGAGCCGAUGUCGGAUUAGCUAGUUGGCGGGGUAAAGGCCCACCAAGGCGACGAUCCGUAGCUGGUCUGGGAGGAUGAUCGGCCACACUGGAACUGAGACACGGUCCAGACUCCUACGGGAGGCAGCAGUGGGGAAUAUUGGACAAUGGGCGCAAGCCUGAUCCAGCCAUACCGCGUGGGUGAAGAAGGCCUUCGGGUUGUAAAGCCCUUUUGUUGGGAAAGAAAUCCAGCCGGCUAAUACCUGGUUGGGAUGACGGUACCCAAAGAAUAAGCACCGGCUAACUUCGUGCCAGCAGCCGCAGUAA
rnacentral:rRNA from 1 species